rnacentral:lncRNA from 1 species
UUGAUGUUUUCAAUUAUUUAUAUGAUGAACAUAGUUCAGAAAUAUAUCGAGAUAAAUCUCAAUCAAUAUAUUGAUUAUUUCUAGGAAACACAUGUCGGUAUGAGGGCACCAUUGUCGAGUACAUCUCAUAUGUAAUCUAAAAGAUGGCACCUCCAACGAUGGGUUGCUGCAAGGCAGGGUUCAUCAAAGAGAACUGGUUGUAUGGCAGCAAUUGUUGUUGCUGCUGCAGGAAGGUAGCGACCAAUGGGUUAGCCACUGCCAAUGGAUUAAGUAACUGUUGUCGCUGUUGUAGGUACGCAGCAGAGUUUGACACAGCCAGUUGGUUGAAUGGAAGCAACUGUUGUAAGUAGGCAGCAGGGUUUGCCACAGCUAGCUGAGUCAGAGCUGGUACAAUUUGUUGCAGCAACUGUUGUUGUAGGUACGUAGGUGCAUUGCCCACCGCGAGCGGGCUAGAUGAAAGUAGUUGUAGGUAGACGGCAGGGUUCACCAUGGCUAGUUGACUGAGCACUGGCAUAAACUGUUGCAGCUGUUGUUGUUGCUGGUAUGCAGCUACGUUCGCCAGAGCAAGUGGGUUGGAUGCAAGCAGCUGCUGUUGCAAGUAGGUGACAGGGUUCACCACGGCUAGGUGGCUCAGUGAUGGCAGAAACUGUUGUUGUUGUUGUUGCGUUGCAAUGGUUUGUAGGGUUAGAUGUGCCAAGGAUUGUUGUUGCAAUUGGGCAAUUGGUUGUUGUAAGGCGCUCGCCGCAAGCGCUAGUUGUAGCCUGUAGGCUUGCACGGCUGGAUGUUCGAAGCCCAUUGAAGUAACUGGUGGGAGGAACUGUGGAAUACUGGCACUAGGAGCAAGUGAGCACUGUGG